ACACACACAAAGCCUGCUGUGCGUGUCUGUCUUGCGUGGACGUUGUACAACAAGUGUCACGCAAGUGGGAUCUUGACUUCCUGAGCCGUGUCGAUGACCGGGUCCUCUCCCGCAUGACGACAUCCGACCCGCAUGACGACAUCAAGGUGGGGGAGAAGACCCUCUCCAAUCGAGACCCGUGAAGGUUGAGGGUGAACAUGCUGGGCGGAGACACGUCCAGCUUCAGUAGCAUGACGUUUUCAGCCUGCAAGCGCUGACCUGAUAUCUGGACGGGGCUCCUGUUGCCGUGGCGACGGCCGCUUGUGCAUGCUGGCUGAUUGGACGCUUGUAUCCCACGGCGGACAGAGGCCUUCGCUUCACUCGAGUGGCCGUGCUAGUGUGCACAUGUGGGCAAGUGAGUAUUUUGUUUUUCAUGGCAAAGUAAUACUAAAUGUUUGCAAAUCUUUCUCAGUGAAAUAGUUUCAUCCUAUUCUUGUGUCAUGGUCACAUUCAGUACGGGAUGCGGUUUUCUCCAUGGUACCUUUCCAAUGGGAUGACCGACAUCAGCCUCCACUGAUCUUCCUCGUCGUCAAAGUGAAGUCUGUUGAUCAGCUUCUUCUUUUCGGCAGGGGGGACAAAGUUCUCCAUCAAUAGGGAUCUGAAAAUAGGCACCCCCACCAAUUAGGUGCAGUUGAAGUCAUGGUCAUAUCUAGGUGGAGAACAUCCCAUAAUAAUUAUUACGUGAGCCGCAAUAAUAUCCGUCCUCACUUGAACUUGAGCUCUCGGGUGAGUUCAUCCUGCGUUUGCUCCAGUUCCUGCCUGGUCGCGACGUGCUCGUCCAUCACGUCACGCGUCUCGGCCCACACUAGCUGGAGUUUAGUGUACAGCUAAAUGUGCGCACGCCAGAGGAGACAACAGCAAAGUCAAGACUUGCAUCGACAGUAGUCAUGAAAUGGAAUCUGGAUGGGCCAAACAAGGAAAA